GUUUGCUAAGUGUGGGGUUUUACUGAAGGCAGCACCUGCUUCUGCAGCACAGCUGGUCUGAAAAGCCAGGUUGCUCCUUGUGAGGGCUUAGGGGUCGGUUUUAACAGUCACUCCAAGCAGGCACAGGGAGAAGAUGCUGUCCUCUUCUGGCAGCCUGGCUGGUCAUAACUCCAUGCAGGAAGCUCAUCUUGUGUGCUGAUAACAGAAAAGAAAUGGAAGAUUGGAUUGCAGCAUUAAAGACUGUGCAGAACAGGGAGCACUUUGAGCCCACCCAGUACAGCAUGGACCACUUCUCAGGGAUGCACAAUUGGUACGCCUGUUCCCACGCGAGGCCGACCUACUGCAAUGUGUGCCGUGAGGCUCUGUCUGGGGUCACGUCGCACGGGCUGUCCUGCGAGGUGUGCAAAUUUAAGGCCCACAAGCGCUGUGCUGUGCGUGCAACCAAUAACUGCAAGUGGACCACACUGGCCUCGAUCGGGAAGGACAUCAUUGAAGAUGCAGAUGGG
rnacentral:sRNA from 1 species